rnacentral:rRNA from 1 species
CCUACGGGAGGCAGCAGUAGGGAAUCUUCCACAAUGGGCGAAAGCCUGAUGGAGCAACGCCGCGUGAGUGAUGAAGGCCUUCGGGUUGUAAAACUCUGUCAUUCGGGACGAACCGGAGUCUGAGGAAAUGCAGACUCUCUGACGGUACCGGAGGAGGAAGCCCCGGCUAACUACGUGCCAGCAGCCGCGGUAAUACGUAGGGGGCAAGCGUUGUCCGGAUUCACUGGGCGUAAAGCGCGCGCAGGCGGUGAUGUAAGUCUGAGGUGAAAACCCGAAGCUCAACUUCGGGACUGCCUUGGAUACUGCGUCACUUGAGGAUAGGAGAGGCAAGGGGAAUUCCACGUGUAGCGGUGAAAUGCGUAGAGAUGUGGAGGAACACCUGUGGCGAAGGCGCCUUGCUGGCCUAUUUCUGACGCUGAGGCGCGAAAGCGUGGGGAGCAAACAGGAUUAGAUACCCUGGUAGUCCACGCUGUAAACGAUGAGUGCUAGGUGUAGGUGGGCUCAUACCCAUCUGUGCCGAAGCUAACGCAUUAAGCACUCCGCCUGGGGAGUACGGUCGCAGACUGAAACUCAAAGGAUUGACGG